rnacentral:sRNA from 1 species
CAGGGAGUUGAGGGUUUCUGCCUUUCGGAGGGUUUGGGGGGCUGUCGGUCCCGUUAGAAGGCUACCAACAACCCCCCAGGUUGCCAAGGGCCUGUUAGUUGUGUUCCUGGAAGGUGGGCAAGCAGCCUGACGGGUUAACAUUGCGAUUUGCCGUCGUUAUAGCGGUCAAGGGGCCUGUAGCUGCUACAGGGAUAACACUAGAUAGCCAAGCAUGGCAGUACCUAUUUUGUCUGUCUACACGAAUUGGACCUCAUUGUUUCUGCCACCAUGUACUGCUCCAUAAAUUCCGCCUUAUUUCCAUGGUCUGGUUGUUGUCUGAUUGGACAACUGAAUUUAAAGCCAAGUGAAGGAUUCAGCUACGUCCCAAAGGAUUAAACAAGAUGUUGUGACAGGUAGUACUGAUGGAAUUGGAAAAUCAUACGCAGAAGAGUUAGCAAAGCAUGGAAUGAAGGUUGUCCUUAUCAGCAGAUCACAGGAUAAACUUGACCAGGUUUCCAGUGAAAUAAAAGAAAAAUUCAAAGUGGAGACAAGAACCAUUGCUGUUGACUUUGCAUCAGAAGAUAUUUAUGAUAAAAUUAAAACGGGCUUGUCUGGUCUUGAAAUCGGCAUCUUAGUGAAUAACGUGGGAAUGUCGUAUGAGUAUCCUGAAUACUUUUUGGAUGUUCCUGACUUGGACAAUGUGAUCAAGAAAAUGAUAAAUAUUAAUAUUCUUUCUGUUUGUAAGAUGACACAAUUGGUACUGCCUGGCAUGGUG